UCCCCGAUUUCCGGGGCAGUCUCCCUAGAGUUCCCGGCCGAACCGCUGGCAACAUAGGACAAGGGUUGCGCUCGUCGCGGGACUUAACCCAACAUCUCACGACACGAGCUGACGACAGCCAUGCACCACCUGUCACGGGCCCUUACGGACACUGCAUUUCUACAGCUUUUCCCGUGAUGUCAAACCCAGGUAAGGUUCUUCGGGUUGCAUCGAAUUAAGCCGCAUGCUCCGCCGCUUGUGCGGGGACCCGUCAAUUCCUUUGAGUUUUAGCCUUGCGGCCGUACUCCCCAGGCGGGAUACUUAAUGCGUUAGCGGCGCCACCGAAGAGCAAGCUCCCCGACGGCUAGCAUCCAUCGUUUACGGCGUGGACUAC
rnacentral:misc_RNA from 1 species